UAAUAAGUUUCUUUUUUGAUUAUAUAUAUUUAAUCAACCUUAAAGAAAACAAAAACUUACAUAUUGCUUAAACCAAACAGGAAAUUCAUCCUUGCGCAUUAACAAUACCUUGUCUUUGAAGUUCUUCCUUGUGCAAACUAUACAUGUGAAACAACAUAUAAGAUAAAUCAAUGAUAUGAUGACUUGUAACUAUAAUUAAGUUGAGCAUAAAGUUUUGAAUAGAAUGAUAACUUACUUUAAAUAAUAUUCUAUCUCUUCGUAGUUAUUAAGUAUAUACCACUGAAUUUUCCUGAAAUCAGACAAGGAUAACACGCCAUAUUCAGUUGCUCCUAAAGUUUUUGCCUUUUAUGUAAAAAUUGAAAAUCCAUUGGGUAUCAACAUUGGAGACUUAUCAAAACUCCAUUCCACUCGAUUGUGUUUAGUUUCAACUCCAUGAAAGUACAAGGAAUAAAAAUUAAGGCACUCUUUAUUAAUAUACACCUCACCAAUGGAACUUUCUGGAAGAGUUUUGUUGCGUACAGAUUGUUUCAAAAAAUAUAAGAACCUAAAACUGUUCAUUUUAUAAAGAGAAUUAUUAUAAGCAACAACCUUACAAUCAGUUAAAAAAAAAAAAAUUAAAAUGAUG
rnacentral:misc_RNA from 1 species